UGGUUAAAUUUAUGGUCAAAGUUGAACCUUAAAAAGCGUGGGCGCGCUAUAUUUUGAAACGGAGGGAGUAUGUAAUUAUAUAAAUGACAGCGAUAUCAAUCAAGAUUAGCAAUCUCUACUCCUAAUGGACGAGUUGGUUGAAUAGUCCCCCCACUUUCGUCUGGUUUUUUUCGACUGGUUUUUUUUCGUCCCCCACACCCACCACACGCACGCAAAAAAUAACCAGUCGAAAAAUCCACGAAGGUUAACCUACGAAAAAAAGCCAGGCGCUCGCUCCCUCGUGCCCUCGAUGCACUUGCCCACCGCCGCUCUCCUCUGCCCCAACCCCAAUCCCGCCGCCGCCUCAAUCCCACCGCCGCCGGCCUCCUCCUCCUCUAGCGCCUCCGCUCCAGCCCCUCACCUUCUCAUCCUGGAUCCGCACGACAAGGUGAGGGGGCGCCCAGAUCCGCAGUGGCACCACCGCGCCCUCGUCCACCUGGUCCUCGAGGUCGGCCAUGGAGGUCCGGCCCGACCAAUGGAUGGAUGGGGAUGAAACCCUAGCCCAACACCCACCCAUGGAUGGAUGGGGAUGGGGCGACGACGGCGGCGGCGGCGGCGGCCUUCUCUCGGUGCUUGCUGAUGUGGUGGACAUCGACGUCGGUGACGGGUUGCAGCACGUAGACAUCAAAGGCUGCGGGUGUGACGGAGGAGCACCAUGGCGGGCGUGCAGACCAUGGCUCGCUAUGGAAGGCCCUUCCCUUCCCUCUCUCUGUUCGGGCCAUGCUCAGGCAGUCUUUUCUCUUCUCUUCCCGAAAAAAAGUCUUUUCUCUUCAUGAUCUGAACAUGUUGGAGGCCAUUAUUUCUCCACUGCCGGAGUCUAGCCUCCCUCCGUGGGAUGCCAUGGAGAUGAAACUCCCCUCGACGAAAGAAUUCAAGGGCAUGUGGGAGAGAGAGGAGGUCCAUGGAGAAGAAGCUCUGCUCCAACCCUCCCUGCCUCCUAAUACAAGAUGUCUUUUUUUGUGUGUGCUUGUAUUGCAGCAGCCAUGUGCGUAUCAAAAAAAGGGUCCAGUUUGCAGCAGUCACAUGAUAUGGACAUGUUUUUUCAUCACAAUUGGAUUUUUGGAUUUACUAGGCUAAUUGGUGGUGGUUGCUGUUGUUGUUGUUUUAGCAGCAGCAGCAGCAGGCGGAGUGACGAUGUUGGCUAUGUGCAGGCCAUGGAGGCUUUGAUGAGCACGAGGGGAAGGCCGCUGCUUCAACCCCGUUAAGCUUACGUGUGGGAUUUGCUUCGGAAGUUGUCCACGUGAGUCAAUGGGUGCUGCUUCAUGUGGGCAUCCUUUCUGUGGUGUAUGUUGGAGAGGUUACACACCUGAUGAUGUUUACGGCUAGGCACAGGAACAAGCAGAGGCCGAGGAAGUGCGGGCACGCGCAGCUGGCCUUGGCAGGUGUAGGAACCGUGCGAGGAAGGUUCAGCGCGCUGCACAAGUCGGGCCACGCCCGGAGCGCCGUACCAACGCAUGUGUGCGUGGUCGGUGGGUUAGCCAAGAUCUGCAUUCUGCGACUUCAUCUUCACCAUGGACACAAGCAAGGACUGAUUGGUGGUUCUUGGUAGCGGUGCCGAGCAUCGGCGGAUCGAAGUGGUCGAGGUCGCGGUUAAUCCACCAGGACGAGACAUGCAUCUUGGAGCUAGCGCAGAGGGGGGAAGAAGCAGGUUGGUAUGGCCCGGUAUGUCCAGUUCUUCCCAUGAAGGUCACAUGCCUAACUUCGUGCUAGACAUUGCUAACUUAGCCACUUGAUGUUAAACUCUGUAUGUGUAACUAGACCUAGCACCACUCAAUGAUUCGAUGUGUUAAAUUAAAGUACCAAUUAGGCAUGUUCACCCCUUUGUACAUGUGUGUUGUUGCAUUGCUUACUAUAUCUUGUUGUAUAUGAUGGCCCAUUGUCAGCUAUACAACUUAUGAAUUCUGUCAAGUUCAGUUCAGAUUUGAUUUUUUUUCACCUCUUUUUGCAUGGACAAUGUGUCUGGUGUUUAAAUAAUGGCUACUUGAAAUUCAUAGGCAUUGUGAGGAACUUUCGCGCAAAGAAAACACACACAGGGCAGGAACAUGACUACUCUCGCCCUUCCAUGUUUCUGAUCGAUCGAACUCUUCGGUGACCAAAAAAUGAGAAAAGGGCAGGUCGUCGAUGUACAGACCACAGGCGCUCGGACGCACGGCCGGCAUCAUGGUCGUCAUAGCUCAUAACCCAUGAGGGGGUGACGAAGCAAGAAAGGAAGAACUCCCGGGCGACGAGCCCAAUGGCCUUGUACUUCGCCCGGACAAGCACCAUUGGGCCGACGUUGCAGCCAGCGGCUGCGGCCAUGCAUUCGGAAAUUCCAUGGCAUGAUGCAUAUAAAUUGGAUCUGUAGGUGGGUUCAGAAGAUGAUUUUUUUCUAUGCUUCUCCUAUGAUUCAUGAAGCUCCAAGCGAGCAAGAAGUUUCAGUCCACCUUUACUCAUGGCCUCCCCUUCUCGUCUGUGGACGGCCUUGGCAAUCUGAACAAGCUUUACGCGACUGGCACUCUUGUUGAUCCCAUAUGAGUCAUUAAGCCGUUUUGUGCGCAAGGUUGAGAUAGUUGGGGCCUGUAACUGUGUUUUGAUCCCAUGAAUGUCAUUUUGCACCGAAGGUUUGUAACCAUUGGGGAAUGUUUUCUUGCUCUGAUGUAUCAAGUUGCCAUGGGGGUGAUCUAGAGGUCUCUUCCUUGUCCAAAGUAUGUCGUACCUAAUCAAGACAUGUUCAUUUAAUUUACCCGUCAUGUAAAUGACACAACAUGAUUCACUUGUGUAUAGUGUAAAAAUAUAUUUAUUUAUGGCACACAGGUGUUCAAAUUAUAGUUGUGAAACGUGUAUAGUGUAAAAAUAUAAUUAUUAAGGGAUGUGACGUCACA